GCCCUUGUACUGAUGGAGGGACAACGUCCAGAAGGUGAGCGGUACGACUAGAAAUGUCCGUGAACCUCGACAAGCCGGCUGGUAGGAAAAUCCGCCAGCGUAACGCAAGUUGAGGGUCCGAGCGCGUUUAUGUUCGCGAAGUCAUUGGAAGGACGUUCAAGAAAAUCUCCUAAAGGUCAAAGCACAGCUGACCGUACUAAAACUGACACAGGUAGGCGAGACGAGUAGUCUAAGGCGCUCGGGAGAAUAGUGCUUAAGGAACUCUGCAAAAUGGCCCCGUAAGUUCGCGAUAAGGGGUGCCCUCGGCGUGCAAGCUGCUGGGGGCCACAGUAAAGCGAUUCCUCCAACUGUUUAUCAAAAACACAGGACUCUGCGAACUCGUAUGAGGAUGUAUAGAGUCUGACGCCUGCCCGGUGUCGGUAGGUUAAGGGAGAGGGUUAGCAAUAUUUAUAUUGCGAAGCUCGCGACCGAAGCCCCGAUAAACGGCGGCCGUAACUAUGACGGUCCUAAGGUAGCGAAGUUCCUUGUCGGGUAAGUUCCGACGUGCAUGAAAGGCGUAAUGAGAGGAAAACUGUCUCAAGCACUAACCCGGUGAAAUUGUAGUCGUGGUGAAGAUGCCACGUUCCCGCAGCUAGACGGAAAGACCCCGUGAACCUUGACUGUAGGCUGAUAUUGGGCUCGUGUUUAAACUGUGUAGGAUAGGUGGGAGGCUAUGAACCCCAGGCCCAAGCUUGGGGGGAGCCAUUGGUGAAAUACCACCCUUUUUAUGCAUAAGUUCUAACGUCGAUUCCUGUGAAUCCAGGCGACGAACAGUGUCAGUUGGGCAGUUUGACUGGGGCGGUCUCCUCCUAAAGAGUAACGGAGGAGUCCAAUAGGCGACCUCAGCCUGGUUGGCAAUCAGGCAGCGAGCGUAAAGGUAGAAGGUUGCUAAACUGUGAGACUUAUUAGUCGAACAGGUGUGAAAGCAGGGCUUAGUGAUCCGGUAGUCCCGUAUGGAAGGGCUAUCGCUCAACAGAUAAAAGGUACUCCGGGGAUAACAGGCUUAUCGCUCCCGAGCGUCCAUAGCGGCGGAGCGGUUUGGCACCUCGAUGUCGGCUCAUCACAUCCUGGGGGUGGAGAAGCUCCCAAGGGUUUGGCUGUUCGCCAAUGAAAGUGGUACGUGAGCUGGGUUCAGACCGUCGUGAGACAGGUCGGUCCCUAUCUACUGUGGGCGCACGAAACUUGCGGAGGUUCUUCUUUAGUACGAGAGGAUUUAGAAGGACGACCCUCUGGUGUUCCAGUUAUCGCGCUAGCGGUACGGCUGGGUAGCUAUGGUCGGAACGGAUAAACGCUGAAGGCAUCUAAGCGUGAAGCCCGCUCCAAGAUAAGGUUUCGUAGGCUAAUAGCCGAAAGUCCCCUGGAAGACGACCAGGUAUCAUAGGCCGGAUGUGUACGUGCAGUAAUGCAUUUAGCUAACCGGUACUAACGGACGAACGCUUGGCCAC
rnacentral:rRNA from 1 species